rnacentral:rRNA from 1 species
AGUGAACGCUGGCGGUAGGCCUAACACAUGCGAGUCGAACGGCAGCACAGUAAGAGCUUGCUCUUACGGGUGGCGAGUGGCGGACGGGUGAGGAAUACAUCGGAAUCUACUUUUUCGUGGGGGAUAACGUAGGGAAACUUACGCUAAUACCGCAUACGACCUACGGGUGAAAGCAGGGGAUCUUCGGACCUUGCGCGAUUGAAUGAGCCGAUGUCGGAUUAGCUAGUUGGCGGGGUAAAGGCCCACCAAGGCGACGAUCCGUAGCUGGUCUGAGAGGAUGAUCAGCCACACUGGAACUGAGACACGGUCCAGACUCCUACGGGAGGCAGCAGUGGGGAAUAUUGGACAAUGGGCGGAAGCCUGAUCCAGCCAUACCGCGUGGGUGAAGAAGGCCUUCGGGUUGUAAAGCCCUUUUGUUGGGAAAGAAAAGCAGCAGGUUAAUACCCCGCUGUUCUGACGGUACCCAAAGAAUAAGCACCGGCUAACUUCGUG